rnacentral:lncRNA from 1 species
GAUCACCGCACCUUCAUGUAGCGUUCGGUUCAGGUAUAAAUAAGAACUAACUAUUACAGGAAUAUGUACAAAUAUAGGGAUAAGAAAAAUAACGUUUGGAUAAAAAUUGGGUUGUUUUUGGAAUAAGAAAAAUAAUGUUUGGAUAGAUAAUAUGAAAUAAGAAAAAUAGUGGAUAGUUUUAUAUAGAAAAUGAAGGUGUUGGUGGGAAUAAUUAUACUCAGUUAUUAUAGAUAACCAAAAAUUACUAUUUUCGGAUACAAAAUUAACUUUUGGAUAUAAAGGGAAUAACGGGUUAUCCCUAUCCUCAUCCCCUAUCCAAAC